UACGAAGGGGGCUAGCGUUGUUCGGAAUUACUGGGCGUAAAGCGCGUGUAGGCGGGUCUUUAAGUCAGGGGUGAAAUGCCAAGGCUCAACCUUGGAACUGCCUUUGAUACUGGAGACCUUGAGUCCGGGAGAGGUGAGUGGAAUUGCGAGUGUAGAGGUGAAAUUCGUAGAUAUUCGCAAGAACACCGGUGGCGAAGGCGGCUCUCUGGACCGAGACUGACGCUGAGGCGCGAAAGCGUGGGGAGCAAACAGG
rnacentral:rRNA from 1 species